rnacentral:rRNA from 1 species
AUGAGGGGAUUGGGCUUUGCGGCGUUAUCGUUACAUGUUCUGUUGUGCCUGGUUAAUGGCGUUUCCUCUCGCCGCACGAGCUCCUAUGUGCGCUCGGAGUUCCCGUCUACCGAUAUGCCUCUAGACAGCGAGUGGUUUGCGACUCCCAAGGGCUACAAUGCUCCACAGCAGGUUCAUAUCACGCAAGGUGACUAUGAUGGAAAGGCUGUUAUAAUAUCAUGGGUCACUCCAUCGGAGCCUGCGCCGAGUCAAGUGUUUUACAGUAAAGAAGAGAACCGCUAUGAUCAGAAGGCCGAAGGGACAAUGACAAAUUAUACAUUUUACGACUAUAAAUCUGGAUACAUACACCAUUGCCUUGUUGAUGGCCUUCAGUACAACACUAAAUAUUAUUACAAGAUAGGUACCGGGGAUUCAGCUCGAGAAUUUUGGUUUCAAACACCUCCAGCAAUUGACAUAGAUGCAUCAUACACAUUUGGCAUCAUAGGUGAUCUGGGGCAAACAUUCAAUUCUCUAUCAACUCUUCAACAUUAUUUGAAAAGCGGAGGAGAAAGUGUUCUAUUUGUUGGGGAUUUGUCAUAUGCUGAUAGAUAUCAACAUAAUGAUGGUAUUCGUUGGGAUUCUUGGGGUCGAUUUGUUGAACGUAGCACUGCAUAUCAACCAUGGAUCUGGAAUUCUGGAAAUCAUGAAAUAGAAUACAGGCCUGAUCUGGGAGAAACUUCUACAUUUAAGCCAUAUCUGCAUAGAUAUUCAACACCAUAUUUGGCAUCGAAGAGCAGCUCCCCAAUGUGGUAUGCAGUCAGGCGUGCAUCUGCUCAUAUUAUCGUGCUCUCCAGCUAUUCUCCUUUUGUAAAAUACACUCCCCAAUGGAUGUGGCUGAAGGGCGAACUCAAGCGCGUGGACAGGGAGAAGACACCUUGGCUUAUUGUUCUCAUGCAUGCUCCCAUGUACAACAGCAAUGAUGCGCAUUUUAUGGAGGGCGAGAGUAUGAGGGCUGCUUUCGAGAAGUGGUUUGUCAAGUACAAGGUGGACUUGGUAUUUGCAGGUCAUGUCCAUGCCUAUGAGAGAUCGUACCGGAUAUCUAAUAUCAACUACAACGUAACAUCGGGGAACCGAUACCCCGUGCCUGACAAAUCCGCUCCUGUGUACAUCACGGUCGGCGAUGGAGGCAACCAGGAAGGACUCGCCUGGAGGUUCAGUGAUCCGCAGCCGGACUACUCCGCGUUCAGGGAGGCGAGCUACGGCCACUCGACCCUGCAGUUGAUAAACCGGACGCACGCCGUGUAUCAGUGGAACCGGAACGACGACGGGAAGCACGUGCCCACGGACAACGUGGUGUUCCACAACCAGUACUGGGCGAGCAACACGCGGCGCAGGCGGCUGAAGAAGAAGCACCUCCGGUACGAGAGCCUCGAGGGCCUCAUGUCCAUGCUCUAG